UGGAAGAGGAGCAACCGGGACAGAAUCUGGAGCCCCAACCGGGACUAGAACCCGGGGUGCCUGCGCCGCAAGGCGGAGGAUUAGUCUCGUGAGCCGCGGCGCCGGCCGCUUUGUUUACUGUUUCAAGUGAUGCUGGCCCAUGAGUGGGACCCUAAUUGGCCCUUUGUCUACAGGUGUUCCUAGGGCUUUCCUAUUUCGGUGCCCUGUGAACAGGGGCGUUUAGACGACCUCUGCAUCUCAAUGAUUGUCGAGCUGGAUCCGGAUGUCUGGGAAUCUGCGUGAGUGUUGACAGAAGCCCCGGGUGCGGUAUGACAAGGUGACUGGGGCUGAAGGCUUUGGUUCUUCCUCUGCCCUGGAGAUUGUAACUGGAACCCAGCUGGCUGUCCUGACCUCCUCUAUGGAGAAUCCACAUGGCAGUGUGAAGACACCUGCUUUUAAGAAACUGGAGAAAUAUGCAGAGUUAGCCUGUGUGAAAGAUCUUGGGGUGCUCACGGCCUUCUGCUCACAGCUCGUGUUGCCAGGGUGAUGGUCACCUCAUGACAUCGGUGGAGACAUCUGAGCCUGGAGACAGAAUUUCGCUACGAGCGUGUGUAUUGAAUCCGUCCACAGGGAGAGGUCCUGCUGCAGAGAGGGAGCGUGUGACGCCGUCAGCUCGCAGAUGGCACGGCCAUUUCCCGGGGCAGCCUCCGAGCCGUUCACAGCUGUCCACGCCGACCACUGUCGUGGGUGCUGGCUAAGUUACAGGGACACUCUCGCACUGUCCAGCGCCCAUGAUGGCUGCGGACUCCUUGCAGCAGGACACCUGAGUGGAAUGGCACAGCUGCAAGAGGAGAGGUGAGGGGACCUGAGGGCGUCUGCUGGCGGUGCGUGUCGCUGUCGCCCCUGAGCACCAGUUUCUAAAGAAGGAAGCUGGACGCAUGGUCAAGAUGACUGGAUGGGGGGCAGCACGGACCCGGAAUCCAAGGGCGGCUGUUGUGCUGCUGCAGAUUAACUCGGCACUUGGGACGCUGCAUCCCACGUCAGUGCUGUCUCGAGCCCUGGCUCCCCUGCUUCCAUUCAAGCUUCCAGCCGAUGUACUGGGAGGAAGCGGUUGAUGGCCUAAGUGGUCGGACUGCCACCUGCAUGGGACACUCGGAGUUCCCGGCUCGGGGCAUCAGCCUGUGCAGCCCUGGCUGUGGUAAGCAUUUGGGAAGUGAGCCAGUGCACGGUCUCUCUCCGUUGCUCUGCCUUUCAAAUAGAUGAAAAUAAAUAAACAUAAAAAAGUGGAAACACCGAAGACCAAUAAACAUGCAGAGAUAAGCAAGAUGAGCAUGAGCGGUCACUAACACAUCAGACAGGCAAAGCAUUUAAGGUAUGAAGCGCCCUGCAUUGGCAGGUGUGGACCAACAGGAACUCUUGCAUUAAGUCCUAGAUUUGCUUGUACCAGAAUAAACUUAGAAUUCCAUUUUCCCCAAGAUAUUUGAAGAACCUAGUUCACAUUGCUGGUGGAGAGGUAGAUUGUUACAACCACUUUUGGAGAAUCAUUUAUUACCCAGUAAAUUUUAACCUGAACAUACCCUGCGACCCAGCCAUUCUGCUGUUGGGUAUAUCUCCCACACAAAGUCACAUUCAUGUGCAUCUGAGUACAAGAAAGCACACGGGCCAACCUGGCAACAGCCCAGUGUGGGGAGCAACCCGGACUGGACUGAGUUACUGGAAUUAAGACUUAUUCUAUGCAUCUGCUCUCCCACAAUAUGGCGCUGGGAGAGGAGAAAACAGCUUCUACACAGCUGCCUCUUGCCAACUUGAGUGAUGACCUCCAGGAGCUGAUCCUGCUCCUGAUUGGAGGAGAGCAGCGUACUCAGCGUGUGGGCAGCCGAGUUGGGAUUGGCGGAGGAGGACUAUAAAGGAGGAGAGAGAGAACAUGCACCAGGAACAUCUAAGGGGAACAUCUAUCUGAAGGAACACCUGUGCAGCCCCCGAGAGAGCCGGCCGGCGGUGUGCCGCUCCCCCGCGGAAGUGGGGAAAGUGGCCAGGGGGAACCGCCCUUCCACGGAGGUGGAAGGGUCGGUAGCCAACCCGGGAAGAACCAGCAGCAAACCCGGGGAGGGCCGAGCAGACGAAAGAACAGCGCAGGGUCCUGUGUCGUUCCUCCACGAAGACGGGGAGCGACAUAAUGGUGCCGUGACUCGGAUAUGAAGCCUAGGCAGGGUUUUGUGUCGUUCCUCCAUGAAGAGGGGGAGCGACACCCAGGGGUUCCCCAGCAAUGAGGACGUACUGCCAAAACAUUAAAGUAAGGGGACCUUAGAGAGAACACCGAAAAUGAACUAGGACUGCAUGUGGCCAGGCGCAGGAUCCCAUAGUGACAGAAGAAUUAAGUGUCUUUAGGUCUGCGUGAUAUUUAUAGCAACUUCCAAAACAGACAAGAGUUAAACCUGAUCAACCCCACAGGGGAGAGGCCCUUGACUUACUCUUUCAAAUGCCCGGAGUAGAGCCACAGUGAAUUUUUGCAGAAUGGCCUUUUGUAUAUUGUCCAUGGACAUGUAUGUGGGCAUAAAAGCAAUUUAAAGCCUCCUGUCUGAAAAAGAAUAGGAUUUCCGCUAGGCAUGAGUGAGGGUGCUGUGGUUGCCGGCACUGGUGGGCAGUGUGUUCUGGGCUGCUCCUGACCCACGUGGUGGCUGUGGGAAUGUUCGCGUGGGUUUAUUCCCAACCCCAUGUGUGUGUGGUCGACAGGCCUCCUGGCUGUCGUAUCUCACAGUGUGACAGCUAAUGCGACAGACAGGCAGUUUAUUGGGUUUCAUUUCAGUGCACUUCUCUGGGCGUGGGGGUGAGAGGGAGGUGUGUUCAUGGACCUGGGACUGCAGGUGCAUGUGAGGCAGCUGUGACCUUAGAGCUCUUCUGUGUUUGCAUCAAGAGUUUUGGGAGUGGCACAGGCAAUAAAAGGCCUGGGCUCGGUUUUGCCCUUUGCCAUUUCCUGCCUGUGUUGCCUGGAACAUUCAGGUAGACUGUUUCCUCAACUCUGAAAUGGGGCUCCCAGGAGCCCAGGGUAGCAGCGAUUAAAUGAGGAUUAAAUAAAAGAUGGUUUGCUGUGGUGCCUUUGUGUGAUGAGAAAAUGCCCCUCCUCCUGCCGGAGACUGCACUGGGGCACAGCUUGGACAGCAGAUGUGCCCAUUGUGUCGGUGACAAGGCACCCUUCUGGGCAGAGGCCUGGGCCUGCCCACACCCCACCCUGCUGUCCUGAGUCCCGCCCCCACAGUGAGACUGUGGAAGCAGGCAACAGCUGCGUGGUUUGCAGAUAGUAAAUGUUUAAGGUCGCCGUGGUCAGGCUCCAGUCCUGUGCGCUCGGAGAAAGAACACUACCAGGAGUCACUGAGCGUCCCAGGCGGGGCCAGCAGAGCCUCAGCUCCCCCUGUUGGAGAGUUCCGGUUUUUUUUAUGUGAGCUGGAAUAGUCAUGUUCCGAUUGCGUGGUGGUUUUGAACACACCAUCUUUAGCACUGGUCUCAGAGCUGCAGGAGAAUAAGACUCUGUUUUGUUUCCCUGUCUGGGAGCUGGGACUUGAACUGGGGCUACAGUUUAUUCCCUCUCUGGGUGGAGGACAAGGGUCUCCGGGUGAGCAGAGCAAGAUGGAAGUGGGCAGCAGUGGUACUGAGUGGGGGACCUGCCUUUACCCCCCCCAACCAAAAAUGUCACUUUUUAAUUAUUUCACAAUUGAGAUUCUGCAUAGGAAUUCAUUGAAAGGCAAGGUUUUACUGCUUUUUUUUUUCUUUUGAUGUUUACUUUUAAUAUUUUCUUCUACUUGAAAGGCUAAGUGAGAGCCAGGGCGAGUGAGUAAGAGGUAUCCAUCUUUCACCCUCUGGUUCACUCCCCAAAUGCCCACGACAGCCAGGGUUGGGCAAGGCCAAAGCCAGGAGCUGAGAGCCGCAUCUCUGGACCCUGGGGUCCGAAGCCCCCUCUGCUCUUGUUCCCUGACGUCAUGGAGGCCUGUGGUUGGCAUCCUGGUCUGGAGGCCACCAUGUGAAUCUGUAGUGGCCUUUAGCAGGCUUUUCUGGGAUUUCAGGUUGUUGCAGAGAUGAUUAAGGCAUUUAGAUGAAAAAUAAGUGCUCAAAAAAAUAAGCAGUAUUAAUUGAGAAUUUUAUAGACUCUCUUUUUGGUAUGUAUGUGUGUAAAUAUGUAAACUUAGUGAAUAAUAAUUUUUGAGAAUCUUUGGUUAGUUUGUAUAAAUUACCUGAUUUAUGAAGUACAGGUGUGUGAAUGUGUGCAUUGGUAGAAUUCAGAAAUCUAAAAAUAAGACUUUAA